rnacentral:rRNA from 1 species
GAUCCUGGCUCAGGAUGAACGCUAGCUACAGGCUUAACACAUGCAAGUCGAGGGGCAGCGGGAUUGAAGCUUGCUUCAAUUGCCGGCGACCGGCGCACGGGGUGAGUAACGCGUAUCCAACCUUCCGUACACCCAGGGAUAGCCUUUCGAAAGAAAGAUUAAUACCUGAUGGUAUGAUGAGAUUGCAUGAUAUCAUCAUUAAAGAUUUAUCGGUGUACGAUGGGGAUGCGUU